rnacentral:rRNA from 1 species
AAUUGAAGGCUUCGGCUGGAUUAUUUUUAUCACCCUUGUCUUUUGCGCACUUGUUGUUUCCUGGGCGGGUUCGCCCGCCACCAGGACCACACCAUAAACCUUUUUUAUGCAGUUGCAAUCAGCGUCAGUAUAACAAAUGUAAAUCAUUUACAACUUUCAACAACGGAUCUCUUGGUUCUGGCAUCGAUGAAGAACGCAGCGAAAUGCGAUAAGUAGUGUGAAUUGCAGAAUUCAGUGAAUCAUCGAAUCUUUGAACGCACAUUGCGCCCCUUGGUAUUCCAUGGGGCAUGCCUGUUCGAGCGUCAUCUAAACCCUCAAGCCCCAUGGCUUGGUGUUGGGUGUCUGUCCCUGCUCCCCGCGCGGACUCGCCCCAAAUGCAUUGGCAGCGGCCUCCACGCUUCUCGCGCAGCACAUUGCGUAGUGGAGCACGGCUAGGCACGCGUCCAGCAAGCAACCCCCCAAGUUUGACCUCGGAUCAGGUAGGGACACCCGCUGAACUUAAGCAUAUCAAUAAGCGGAGGA